AACGAACGCUGGCGGUAUGCUUAACACAUGCAAGUCGUACGUGAAAGGGACUUCGGUCCCGAGUAAAGUGGCGCACGGGUGAGUAACACGUGGAUAAUCUACCCGACAAUCCGGGAUAACAGUUCGAAAGGGCUGCUAAUACCUGAUAAGCCCACGUCGUCUUCGGAUGAUGAGGGAAAAGGUGGGGACCUUCGGGCCUGCCGUUGUCGGAUGAGUCCGCGUCCCAUUAGCUAGUUGGUAGGGUAAUGGCCUACCAAGGCUACGAUGGGUAGCUGGUCUGAGAGGAUGAUCAGCCACACUGGAACUGAGACACGGUCCAGACACCUACGGGUGCUG
rnacentral:rRNA from 1 species